CUACGGGCUGCUCCAGUGGGGAAUAUUGGACAAUGGGGGAAACCCUGAUCCAGCAAUGCCGCGUGUGUGAAGAAGGCCUGCGGGUUGUAAAGCACUUUCGGUUGGGAGGACUGCUUCUAGCACUAAUAUUGUUGGAAGUUGACGUUACCUUCAGAAGAAGCACCGGCUAACUCCGUGCCAGCAGCCGCGGUAAUACGGAGGGUGCAAGGCGUUAAUCGGAAUUACUGGGCGCAAAGCGCGCGUAGGCGGCUAGCUCAGUCGGGUGUGAAAGCCCCGGGCUUAACCUGGGAACUGCAUCCGAUACUGUCUAGCUUGAGUACAGGAGAGGAGAGUGGAAUUCCACAUGUAGCGGUGAAAUGCGUAGAUAUGUGGAGGAACACCAAUGGCGAAGGCAGCUCUCUGGCCUGAUACUGACGCUGAGGUGCGAAAGCGUGGGGAGCAAACAGGAUUAGAUACCCCCGUAGUC
rnacentral:rRNA from 1 species